rnacentral:rRNA from 1 species
UACGUAGGUGGCAAGCGUUACUCGGAAUCACUAGGCGUAAAGCGCGUGUAGGCGGUCCGGUAAGUCCGCUGUGAAAGUCGGGGGCUUAACCCUCGGAUGCCGGUGGAUACUGUCGGGCUUGAGUACGGAAGAGGCGAGUGGAAUUCCUGGUGUAGCGGUGAAAUGCGCAGAUAUCAGGAGGAACACCAAUUGCGAAGGCAGCUCGCUGGGACGUUACUGACGCUGAGACGCGAAAGCGUGGGGAGCAAACAGG